rnacentral:rRNA from 1 species
CCUACGGGUGGCAGCAGUGAGGAAUAUUGGUCAAUGGUCGGGAGACUGAACCAGCCAAGCCGCGUGAGGGAUGAAGGUACAGAGUAUCGUAAACCUCUUUUGUCAGGGAACAAAGGCGGGGACGUGUCCCCGGAUGAGUGUACCUGAAGAAAAAGCAUAGGAUAACUCCGUGCCAGCAGCCGCGGUACUAGGGAGGAGGCGAGCGUUAUCCGGAUUUAUUGGGUUAAAGGGGUGCGCAGGCGGGUGGUUAAGUCAGCGGUAAAACCCCGGGGCUCAACCCCGGCCCGCCGUUGAAACUGGCAGUCUCGAGUUGGAGAGAGGUAUGCGGAAUGCGCGGUGUAGCGGUGAAAUGCAUAGAUAUCGCGCAGAACUCCGAUUGCGAAGGCAGCAUGCCGGCUCCACACUGACGCUGAGGCACGAAAGCGUGGGUAUCGAACAGGAUUAGAUACCCGAGUAGUC